rnacentral:rRNA from 1 species
UUUGACUCAACGCGGGAAAUCUUACCGGGUCCGGACACACUGAGGAUUGACAGGCAAUAUCUCAUGUUUAAUAACCGUUAUUAACGUAUCGGUUAUUUAAUACAUCGAGUGUUAAAUAUGCUAGUCCUUUCAUGAUUAUGUGAUAGGUGGUGCAUGGCCGUUCUUAGUUCGUGGAGUGAUCUGUCUGCUUAAUUGCGUUUCACUAAGGGCCCAUAAAUUCAAGGUAUGUUAGCUAUCUGUCGCUCUAUGGACCCCUUAA